UACAGAGGUCCCGAGCGUUGUUCGGAUUCACUGGGCGUAAAGGGUGCGUAGGUGGUGAGGUAAGUCGGAUGUGAAAUCUCCGGGCUCAACCCGGAAACUGCAUUGGAAACUACCUUGCUAGAGGGUUUGAGGGGGGACUGGAAUUCUCGGUGUAGCAGUGAAAUGCGUAGAUAUCGAGAGGAACACCAGUGGCGAAGGCGGCACUCUGGGACGGUACUGACGCUGAGACGCGAAAGCGUGGGGAGCAAACAGG
rnacentral:rRNA from 1 species